rnacentral:pre_miRNA from 1 species
UUACUACUCCCUCCGUUCGGAAUUACUUGUCGCACAAAUGGAUGUAUCUAGACGUAUUUUAGUUCUAGAUACAUCCAUUUCCGAGACAAGUAAUUCCGAACGGAUGGAGUAUUAU